AUUGAACGCUGGCGGCAGGCCUAACACAUGCAAGUCGAGCGGAAGAAGGGUGCUUGCUCGCGCAUUCGGGGGGGGAGGGGUGGGUGGUGGCGGGGAAUCUGGCAGUCUGCGGUUGCUGACGUCCUAAAACCGGCGCACUUACCCCAUUCGCCCUUACGAAGUACGUGGGAGAGCUGGGGAUCUCACGCCCUCGCAUGAUCGUAUGACGGAUUAGCUAGUUGGUGGGGUAAAGGGCUACCAAGGCGACGAUCCGUAACUGGUCUGAGAGGAUGAUCAGCCACACUGGAACUGAGACACGGUCCAGACUCCUACGGGAGGCAGCAGUGGGGAAUAUUGGACAAUGGGCGAAAGCCUGAUCCAGCCAUACCGCGUGUGUGAAGAAGGCCUUCGGAUUGUAAAGCACUUUAAGUGGGGAGGAAGGGCAGUAAGUUAAUACCUCGCUGUUUUGACGUUACCAAAAGAAUAAGCACCGGCUAACCUCGUG
rnacentral:rRNA from 1 species